ACGGGUGAGUAACGCGUGGGAAUCUACCUUUUGCUACGGAAUAACUCAGGGAAACUUGUGCUAAUACCGUAUGUGCCCUUCGGGGGAAAGAUUUAUCGGCAAAGGAUGAGCCCGCGUUGGAUUAGCUAGUUGGUGGGGUAAAGGCCUACCAAGGCGACGAUCCAUAGCUGGUCUGAGAGGAUGAUCAGCCACACUGGGACUGAGACACGGCCCAGACUCCUACGGGAGGCAGCAGUGGGGAAUAUUGGACAAUGGGCGCAAGCCUGAUCCAGCCAUGCCGCGUGAGUGAUGACGGUCUUAGGAUUGUAAAGCUCUUUCACCGGUGAAGAUAAUGACGGUAACCGGAGAAGAAGCCCCGGCUAACUUCGUGCCAGCAGCCGCGGUAAUACGAAGGGGGCUAGCGUUGUUCGGAUUUACUGGGCGCAAAGCGCACGUAGGCGGACUUUUAAGUCAGGGGUGAAAUCCCAGAGCUCAACUCUGGAACUGCCUUUGAUACUGGAAGUCUUGAGUAUGGUAGAGGUGAGUGGAAUUCCGAGUGUAGAGGUGAAAUUCGUAGA
rnacentral:rRNA from 1 species